GAUGAACGCUGGCGGCGUGCCUAAUGCAUGCAAGUCGAGCGAACGGACGAGAAGCUUGCUUCUCUGAUGUUAGCGGCGGACGGGUGAGUAACACGUGGAUAACCUACCUAUAAGACUGGGAUCACUUCGGGACACCGGAGCUUAUACCGGAUGAUCUUUUGAUCCGCAUGGUUCAAUAGUGAAAGACGGUCUUGCUGUCACUUCUCGAUGCAUCCGCGCUGCUUUAGCUAGUUGUUAAGGUAACGGCUUACCACGGCAACGAUGCAUAGCCGACCUGAGAGAGUGAUAGGCCACACUGGAACGGAGACGCGGUCAAGAGGACUAAGGGAGGCAGCAGUAGGGAAUGUUACGCAAUGGGCGAAAGCCUGACGGAGCAACGGCGCGUGAGUGAUGAAGGUCUUCGGAGCGUAAAAAUCUGUUAUGAGGGAAGAACAGAUGUGUAAGUAACUGUGCACAGAUUGACGGUACCGAAUAAGAAAGCAACGGCUAACUACGUG
rnacentral:rRNA from 1 species